UACGGGGGGAGCAAGCGUUGUUCGGAUUUACUGGGCGUAAAGGGCGCGUAGGCGGUCAGCACAAGUCAAUUGUGAAAUCUCCGAGCUUAACUCGGAAAGGUCAACUGAAACUGUGCGACUAGAGUGCGGAAGGGGCAACUGGAAUUCUUGGUGUAGCGGUGAAAUGCGUAGAUAUCAAGAGGAACACCUGCGGCGAAGGCGGGUUGCUGGGCCGACACUGACGCUGAGGAGCGAAAGCGUGGGGAGCGAACAGG
rnacentral:rRNA from 1 species